GACGAACGCUGGCGGCGUGCUUAACACAUGCAAGUCGAACGGAAAGGCCCUGCUUUUGUGUGGUGCUCGAGUGGCGAACGGGUGAGUAACACGUGAGUAACCUGCCCUUGACUUUGGGAUAACUUCAGGAAACUGGGGCUAAUACCGGAUAGGAGCUCCUGCUGCAUGGUGGGGGUUGGAAAGUUUGGGCGGUUGGGGAUGGACUCGCGGCUUAUCAGCUUGUUGGUGGGGUAGUGGCUUACCAAGGCUUUGACGGGUAGCCGGCCUGAGAGGGUGACCGGCCACAUUGGGACUGAGAUACGGCCCAGACUCCUACGGGAGGCAGCAGUGGGGAAUAUUGCACAAUGGGCGGAAGCCUGAUGCAGCAACGCCGCGUGCGGGAUGACGGCCUUCGGGUUGUAAACCGCUUUCGCCUGUGACGAAGCGUGAGUGACGGUAAUGGGUAAAGAAGCACCGGCUAACUACGUG
rnacentral:rRNA from 1 species